UACGUAGGGUGCGAGCGUUGUCCGGAAUUAUUGGGCGUAAAGAGCUUGUAGGCGGUUUGUCGCGUCUGCUGUGAAAUCUCAAGGCUCAACCUUGAGCUUGCAGUGGGUACGGGCAGACUAGAGUGUGGUAGGGGGAGACUGGAAUUCCUGGUGUAGCGGUGAAAUGCGCAGAUAUCAGGAAGAACACCCCGUGGCGAAAGGCGGCUCUCUGGAAACGCAAACUGAC
rnacentral:rRNA from 1 species